UACGGAGGGGACUAGCGUUGUUCGGAAUUACUGGGCGUAAAGCGCACGUAGGCGGAUUUGUAAGUCAGGGGUGAAAUCCCGGGGCUCAACCUCAGAACUGCCUUUGAUACUGCAAAUCUCGAGUCCGGAAGAGGUGAGUGGAAUUCCUAGUGUAGAGGUGAAAUUCGUAGAUAUUAGGAAGAACACCAGUGGCGAAGGCGGCUCACUGGUCCGGUACUGACGCUGAGGUGCGAAAGCGUGGGGAGCAAACAGG
rnacentral:rRNA from 1 species